GACGAACGCUGGCGGCGUGCUUAACACAUGCAAGUCGAGCGGUAAGGCCCUUUUGGGGGUACACGAGCGGCGAACGGGUGAGUAACACGUGGGUGACCUGCCCCUUACUCUGGGAUAAGC
rnacentral:rRNA from 1 species